UGAUUAAAAAUAUUUCUUAGGUUUGAAAAAAAGAAAAAGAAGUUUUGGCUACUGUCUUUUAGUACUUGUCUUGUAGAAGUAUGGAAUACAAGUUUAUAUUUGGACCUACGGAGAAGCAGCAUCAAGAAAGAAAAUUAACAUAGGGAAGUGGUUGCAUAACCAGAACUCUGAACAGUACCAUUAAAGUGCAGUUGUAGUGAAGAAACUAUUACAUUGGCUUACAAACCUACUACUUUACUAGGUAUAGUAUUUAUCCUGUUAUUUAUCUGGCAUGCUGCUUGUUUAAUUGUGACUGCUUA